rnacentral:tRNA from 1 species
UCGGGUGUCGUCUAACGGUAGGACAGCAGCCUUUGGAGCUGUUUAUCGGGGUUCGAAUCCCUGCGCCCGAGCCG